CGCUCCAGUAUAGUUAGAGCACUAUAAUAGCAGGUAUGUGCAUCCGCCAUUUUGGUUGCAAAAGAUUUCAGAUAACCCAUUAUCAUAUCUUCAUAAAAUAUUUUGUCAUCAUCUAGUAUUCUAGUCUAUGCUUAAAUGUUUCUUUGGUUCAUACUAUACUUAACUAAAGAUCGUAAAAGUACUGAGCAGUAGGUAACUAAUUUAUAUAUUUGACCAGCAUUAAUAUAUUAUGGCUCAUUUGUCUACAUCUGACGAUUCAAUGCAGAUUAAAGAAAAUAAAAUCAUUGCUGCAGAUGACAAUAUAUCACCCAAGAAUGUAUUGGAUAAUGAUCCUAAAAAGAAAAACAAUCAUGACUGCAAUAAUUUCAAACAGAAAGCUGAGCAAGAAAUAGCUAAUUUAAAAUUAGAAAUUGAAAAGCUGAAUUUUGGAAAAAACAAUAUGGAUCUUUUACUAAACUAUUUCAAUAAUCAAAAGGUGUGAAGUUGGGUGACCAAAGCUAGAUUACUGUUUUUUUUGGAUAGUAAAGUUAUGCAAAUUACAAAUUACUGUAACUAAAUUACUCUUGCAGUAAUUCUGUAGUAAUUUCAUUAUAAUUUAUUUAAAUUAACGCAAUUGUAACAAAAGUACUUUUUAAAAGUAUAUCUCUGAAUUAAUUUUUUUGUUCAGACUCAAAUUAUUGUAUUUUAUUUAAAAAAUAACCUAUUGAUAUUUUAAAAUUGUUAUAAUAAUUCAAAUUCUUCAAAUAAUAGUUUUUAUUUAAUAAUGUUAUUUACAUAUUUAAAAUUAAGCAAUUGUAACAAUUUAUUUAUUUUUAAAAAGAAAACAUUCUGUAUGAAAUAAAAAACAAAUAUUAUAUUCUAUAAAAUAAAAACAAUGAAUUGGUUUAA